rnacentral:rRNA from 1 species
UAGAGUUUGAUCCUGGCUCAGGAUGAACGCUAGCGACAGGCUUAACACAUGCAAGUCGAGGGGCAGCGGGGAGGUAGCAAUACUUCCGCCGGCGACCGGCGCACGGGUGAGUAACACGUAUGGAACCUGCCCGUAGCAGGGGGAUAAACGGAAGAAAUUCCGUCUAAUACCGCGUAAUAACUCCGAGAGGCAUCUCAUGGAGUUUAAAGGGUAACACCGGCUACGGAUGGCCAUGCGGCGCAUUAGCUAGUUGGCGGGGUAACGGCCCACCAAGGCGACGAUGCGUAGGGGUUCUGAGAGGAAGGUCCCCCGCACUGGUACUGAGACACGGACCAGACUCCUACGGGAGGCAGCAGUGAGGAAUAUUGGUCAAUGGGCGCGAGCCUGAACCAGCCAAGUCGCGUGAGGGAAGACGGUCCUAUGGAUUGUAAACCUCUUUUGUCGGGGAGCAAAAGACGCCACGUGUGGCGUUCCGAGAGUACCCGAAGAAAAAGCAUCGGCUAACUCCGUGCCAGCAGCCGCGGUAAUACGGAGGAUGCGAGCGUUAUCCGGAUUUAUUGGGUUUAAAGGGUGCGCAGGCGGAAGAUCAAGUCAGCGGUAAAAUUGAGAGGCUCAACCUCUUCGAGCCGUUGAAACUGGUUUUCUUGAGUGAGCGAGAAGUAUGCGGAAUGCGUGGUGUAGCGGUGAAAUGCAUAGAUAUCACGCAGAACUCCGAUUGCGAAGGCAGCAUACCGGCGCUCAACUGACGCUCAUGCACGAAAGUGUGGGUAUCGAACAGGAUUAGAUACCCUGGUAGUCCACACAGUAAACGAUGAAUACUAAUUGUUCGGGGAGAAUGAUCCCUGAGUGAUACAGCGAAAGCGUUAAGUAUUCCACCUGGGGAGUACGCUGGCAACGGUGAAACUCAAAGGAAUUGACGGGGGCCCGCACAAGCGGAGGAACAUGUGGUUUAAUUCGAUGAUACGCGAGGAACCUUACCCGGGCUCAAACGACACAGGAAUACUUUUGAAAGGAGGUAGCUCUACGGAGUCUGUGUCGAGGUGCUGCAUGGUUGUCGUCAGCUCGUGCCGUGAGGUGUCGGCUUAAGUGCCAUAACGAGCGCAACCCCCAUCGCCAGUUACCAGCAAGUCAAGUUGGGGACUCUGGCGAGACUGCCGGCGCAAGCUGUGAGGAAGGCGGGGAUGACGUCAAAUCAGCACGGCCCUUACGUCCGGGGCGACACACGUGUUACAAUGGCAGGUACAGAGAGAAGCAAUGCGGCGACGCAAAGCGGAACUUGAAAGCCUGUCUCAGUUCGGAUUGGAGUCUGCAACUCGACUCCAUGAAGCUGGAUUCGCUAGUAAUCGCGCAUCAGCCAUGGCGCGGUGAAUACGUUCCCGGGCCUUGUACACACCGCCCGUCAAGCCAUGGAAGCCGGGAGUGCCUGAAGUGUGCAACCGCAAGGAGCGCCCUAAGGUAAAACUGGUGACUGGGGCUAAGUCGUAACAAGGUAACCGUAA